AUGAUUGAAAACCUCUGCCCAAUUAUUUCAUGGAAUGUUCGGGGCCUGAACUCGCCCGCGAGAAGAGCUACUGUUGCUGAAGUUGCUGUUUCCCAUCGCCUUGCCAUUCUCUGUCUGCAGGAAACAAAAAUCUCCACCUGGACUGCUGAUUUGGCUAGAGAAGUUGGAGGCGCCAAGCUUAGAGAUUGCGUAGUGCUGCCUGCCUUCGACACCAGAGGUGGUGCUGCCAUCUUCUGGGACCCUGAUGUUGUGGAGAUCAACUCCCAAGCAAUUGGACAGUUUGCUAUAACUGCACAAGUCAGGCUC
rnacentral:rRNA from 1 species